UACGGGGGGGGGAAGCGUUGUUCGGAAUUACUGGGCGUAAAGGGCUCGUAGGCGGCCAACUAAGUCAAACGUGAAAUCCCUCAGCUUAACUGGGGAACUGCGUCUGAUACUGGAUGGCUUGGAUUCGGGAGAGGGAUGUGGAAUUCCAGGUGUAGCGGUGAAAUGCGUAGAUAUCUGGAGGAACACCGGUGGCGGAGGCGGCAUCCUGGACCGGUAUUGACACUGAGGCGCGAAAGCCAGGGGAGCAAACGGG
rnacentral:rRNA from 1 species